GUAGGUGGCAAGCGUUGUCCGGAAUUAUUGGGCGUAAAGCGCGCGCAGGCGGUUCUUUAAGUCUGAUGUGAAAGCCCACGGGCUCAACCGUGGAGGGUCAUUGGAAACUGGAGAACUUGAGUACAGAAGAGGAAAGCGGAAUUCCACGUGUAGCGGUGAAAUGCGUAGAGAUGUGGAGGAACACCAGUGGCGAAGGCGGCUUUCUGGUCUGUAACUGACGCUGAGGCGCGAAAGCGUGGGGAGCAAACAGGAUUAGAUACCCUGGUAGUCCACGCCGUAAACGAUGAGUGCUAAGUGUUAGGGGGUUUCCGCCCCUUAGUGCUGCAGCUAACGCAUUAAGCACUUCGCCUGGGGAGUACGGCCGCAAAGGCUG
rnacentral:rRNA from 1 species